GAGGAUUCUUGGACAUUUUUUGCGAAAUUUCGAUCAUAAUCUCCGGAACACGAACGAAGCUGUAAAUUCUACUUUUUAAUCUCGGUUCUUUCCAGAGCCUUGAUUCCCAGGGUGGAAGCGGCAUUUGUUUGACAACAAGCGGAGAAAGGAACGCCGCCACCAAAGAUUGCCAAAGCUGGAGGCUCGAUCGAAGCAGCCAUCGAGGGAGAUGCCAAGGGAAGAGCUUGAGCCGCUGCAUGUUCUUGGCGCUCUACUGGCUUUGAUGGUCAUCUCUGGAGUAGUCUUUGGUGGGAUGGGUAUGAUGGCCAUUGCUUUGGUGAUGACGUGCUGGAUGUGGAGGGAGUUCAAGGUUGGGCCAUUCCAUGUCAAAGCCCUCGGCUUUGCAGAGAAAAAUCGAAGAAACGAGUCCCCAAAGCAACGCAGGAACCGUCGUCCAAAUCCCGAGCAGUGCUCAUGUUGCUACUUUGACACUGCGAACUGUAGCUGUUUUGCAGGAUAUAUAAUUCCAAUAGUUUGACGACUGAGAAAGGAACUCCAAGCAGGACCAAAGGAGGCCUUAGCUCCUCGGUGCUACUCCAAAUCAAAAAGGCUCAACGCCGAUAUGAAAGCGAAGAACACAAAGAAGAGAUCGAGCGACUGGUGUUUAACACGACUUGUACGAUUCCAUAGAAGGCGUGUUGCGCCAAGAGGAUGGCGGCCCUGCGUGCCUUGGGUGAUGGCGCUCGAUCCGGCCACGGAAGGUCCUCCCUGGCAAGGCUCGGCGCCGUCGCCUUGUUUUCGCGUUCUCGGUGGCUGGAUUGCGUGGAGAGCAGGCACAGGUUUCCAUACAAUACUAGUACCUUGUGUCAGUCUUUUCAUCGUUCUUCUUUUCUGGAAAAGCUCAUCACCUUAUAAACCGCUGACCAAGUCAAAGUUCUUCGUG